GUCCAGGAGGCUGCUCGCUCUGGUUAAACAGUGCCCCACGUGCUGUGGCCCAGGGCUGGUCGCACAGCGUGGCCUUCACUGGGCCCUGGCCAGCCCCUGCAGCUGCGAUAGGCAUCGGGCGGCUUUCACAGCCCACUGCCUCCCUCCCAGCGCGGCCAGACUUGGCUUUCCCACAGCGGGGGGAGGGGUGCCCCAGGGACCCUUGGGCCCAGCUAAUCGCUUCUCUGCCUGGGAGCUGGCCACACCUCUGUGCCCACCCAGGAGUGGCCCCAGGAGGGCCGCUCCUGCCUGCUCUCGGCUCCCCAGGCUGGGCUGGCCGGGCUGGGGCCAGUCGGAUCAGGACUGCAGCUGCCCAUCAGCCGUGGCGACAGCAGAUAGCAUCGCGCCCACCCCCAACAGCCUCCAGAGCUGGGGUGUAGGUGGCUGGGUAGGGAGUGCUAUGGGUUACAGACACGGGCUGAACCCCACCCUCAGGGGCUUCCUGGAGGGGCUUAGGGGCUGAGGGCUGACCCACGCAUGAGGGGUCUGGAGAAUCCCCAGGUCCCGAAUCUGAGGGAGCCCCCUCCCACUUCAGCCCCCCAUUAGCACUCCCACUUCUUAGCACCCACUGGACAGAUGUAAGCCUGACUCUGCAAGAGGUGUGUGAUCCCCGCAUCACAGGUGCAGAAACAGGACCCAACCUGUAGCCUGUGCGGGGGUGCCCCCACCCUGGGCUCCGGUGAGUGAGCUAGCCAGCAGGCGAGGGGCACAGCCCUUCCCUCAGUCCUGAACUUGUGGUCUGGCUGGAGGACGGAGUGGGUGCUAUCCCCUGAGGUGGUGGCAGUAGAGGCCCUGGACCCCUGGGGAGGGUGGCUGGGUGGACCUUGAGUGCAACCAGCCGGACAGGUUGAGGAAUGUCCCAGAGGCCAGUGCAAAGGCCCCGAGGCGGGAAUGCGGCGCCGCUGGAGGGUGUCUGGCGGGUAGCAGCUGAGUGCCAGGCUCUUUCCUUCGGGCUUCCUUGGGCUGCAGCUCAAAGGCCACCUGGCCAGAGCUCUGCCGGCCCCUCCCUGAGGCCAGGUGGCUCCUCCCACCCCCUUGAGCUCUGGUUUCCAACAACACAGGCCUGCGGCCCAGGGAGCCUGGUCCCAGCCCCACGCUUGGCUGGACUGGAGGACUGGCUCAGAGAUGCUGAGGCUGUGACGGCGGCCCAUCGCCUGCUCCCAGGCCUCCUGCUUGGACUUCCUGGGCCUCCCCGACCAGCGCAUCAGCCACGGCCCAGGGACGGUGCCCCGCACUGGACCUUCCUGGAGGCCCUGCCUGCUGCCGGUGGCCCCGGCUGCUUGGGCAGAUCCCAGUGCCUGCCGCAGCUACCGGGGGACCCCAGGGCCUGCACUGCUCCCCAGAUGGCCUGCUCUUCCUGACAGCGGGUGCCGCACCCUGCGUCCACGUGCUGGACCUCGAGGGACGCUCCAUCUGCCACCUGCCCUGCUACGUGCCAGGGGUUGGGGCUUUUGUACCGGAAGAUGUGGUGGUGACAGCUGCUGGGCUCGUGGUGGUCAGUGACCUGGUCCACGGGGCUGUCCGUGCGCUCCAGCACACCACCCAAGCCCCUCAAGGCCGCUGGGUGACGGUGGGCUCCUUCUCCGCCCCCCGGGGGCUGGCUGUAGAUGCCUUCGGCCGCCUCUUGGUGACAGACUACGUGCCUGGGGCUGUGCACAGCUUCACACUGGGCCCUGACUUGGCGCCACUGGCCCCUGCCUCCCUGCUAGGCCUGGAGGGCCCCUGCUGGGUGGGCCUGGCGCCCGACGGGGGCCUGGCUGUGAGCGAGGAGUUUGGGGACGUACAGCUGUUUGGCAGUGCCCGCCAGCCCCUGGGCUCCCUGGGGGACCUGACCGGGCACCCCUUCGGCAGCCCGGCAGGUGUGUGCACUGACGCAGCGGGCGGUGUCAUUGUGGCGGACCAGCGGCGGCGCCAGGUGACCCUGUUCCGCCAGGCCAGGGAGCCCAUCUGCCUGGUUUCCGAGGGGCUGAGGCGGCCCCUGGGUGUGGCCUGUGGGCCCCAGGGCCAGCUGCUGGUGGCAGACGCAGAGGACGGCGACAUCAAAGUGUACCAGUCCCACCUGGAGUUGGACUGAUACUGUGGGCUUGAACCGCAGCGCCCCUCUCUGUGCGUGGCGUAGCCCCCUGGGCCCAGACCAUGAUGGAAGGAAUGUUCAGGUUUCUCAGAGUUCUCCUGGCGUGGGCCUUGCCCUCCUGACCCUGGACAUUUGCUGACAGUCCUGAGCCCCGUCAUACCGGGCCCUGGCCUGGACUCCUCUCCUUCUCCUGGGGAGGAUUCAGAUUCAGGGGGCAGCCGGAAUCAGCUGCCUCCAGCCCCCAGGGUCUAGGAGGCCUGCACUUUGGGGCCAGCAGCUGAAGCCUG
ensembl:lncRNA